rnacentral:tRNA from 2 species
UGGGAGAUCGUCUAGCGGUAGGACACGCGGCUCUGAACCGCGCAACCUUGGUUCGAAUCCAAGUCUCCCAGCCA